AUCCUUAGGAAUUAAAGAAGCCUUCUCCAGCCUGGCAUCACCAUCAUCCAUAGCCAUCUUGACCAGCAGUUGUGCCGAUUGGGGAUGUUUUGAGUUGUCGUCCAACACAUUUGGAGAGCAACAACAAAAUGCUGUGUUAAGGAAAGGGGAAAAUGUCAUUUGAGAGCCGACUGCCAUCUGAAACAUUUCAGGC
rnacentral:lncRNA from 11 species